UUGGAGCUCGGCCCCAACGCGCUCUCGUGGUCCUCGCCAGCAGCCGCCCGUGUUGUCGCCCUCCUCCCCGGUGAGCUGCCACGCCCUGGUCCUUGGCGGGUGCGCGGUCGUCUUCCUCGCCGGCGGCCACAUACGCUCUCCUCCUUCUUCCCAGCGAGCUGCUGCGCUCAGAUCCUCUGCGGGUGCGCGCUCGUCCUCCUCGCCGACAGCCGCGCGCGCUCUCCUCCUCCCCGGCGAGCUACCACGCUCGCGUCUUCGACGGCUGCGCGUCGUCCUCGCCGGGGGCCGGGCGAGCUCGUCCUCCUCCCCGGCAAUCCGCCGCGCGUGCUGCUCCUUGUCCCUGGCGCGCGCUCCUCCUCGUCCCACCCCACCUCUUCUUCUACCUCCAGUUGUUUGCACGGACGGCUGCAAUAG
rnacentral:misc_RNA from 1 species